rnacentral:rRNA from 1 species
UACGGGGGGGGCAAGCGUUGUUCGGAAUUACUGGGCGUAAAGCGUGCGCAGGCGGCUUUGCAAGACAGAUGUGAAAUCCCUCGGCUUAACCGGGGAACUGCGUCUGAUACUGGAUGGCUUGAGUUCGGGAGAGGGAUGCGGAAUUCCAGGUGUAGCGGUGAAAUGCGUAGAUAUCUGGAGGAACACCGGUGGCGAAGGCGGCAUCCUGGACCGAUACUGACGCUGAGGAGCGAAAGCCAGGGGAGCAAACGGG